rnacentral:rRNA from 1 species
AUUGAACGCUGGCGGCAGGCCUAACACAUGCAAGUCGAACGAGUGGCGGACGGGUGAGUAAUGUCUGGGAAACUGCCUGAUGGAGGGGGAUAACUAGUGGAAACGGUAGCUAAUACCGCAUACCAUCGGAUGUGCCCAGAUGGGAUUAGCUAGUAGGUGGGGUAAGGGCUCACCUAGGCGACGAUCCCUCGCGGGUCUGAGAGGAUGACCAGCCACACGUGAACUGAGACACGCUCCGUACUCUGACGGGAGGUAGCAGUGGGGAAUAUUGCACAAUGGGCGCAAGCCUGAUGCAGCCAUGCCGCGUGUAUGAAGAAGGCCUUCGUGUUGUAAAGUACUUUCAGCGGGGAGGCGUUACCCGCAGAAGAAGCACCGGCUAACUCCGUGCCAGCAGCCGCGGUAAUAC